GUUUACUGCCAAGUGCGAAGCAGUUACCCUUGGGGCGUCGGGGGUGGGGAGGGGUUGGCGACUGGGACGGAAGAACGGGGAAAGGCGGGGCCGGCGGCCGCGCCAGGAGCUAGCGUAGCUUCUGCCGUUAGGGCACCCUCCUUCCUUGCUAAACACCGACUCUCCCGUCAGCCUCCAUGUGGUGUUGUGUGUGCGCUUCCCAGUUUUCCUGAGAGUGAAGAUCUCGAAGGAUUUCAUAGGUAUUUUUUUUCUUUGCUAUGUCAUCGUAGUCAGUGGUGGCAGAAAAGCGCUGAAGGCCCGGCUCGUUAGGCGUGAGAGUGGCCAAAGUGUUUGAGUUAGGUAUGGGGCAGUUCACCCUGUGGCGAGUUAGGGUGGAAUGUUUGCCCUUGGGACGGCGUAACGGAAAGGCACGGAGGUUGGGCGGUCCAGGUUAAUUUGAAGGCUGAUUUUGGCUGAAGGUCUGGCGACAGCAUCGGAUCCCACGUAGCAACUUUGGCCUGGCGCAAAAGAAGGAAGCUCUAACCCUUGGGAGUCUGGACAAAGGCUUUGGGCUAUAGAAGCGAUUCCUUCGGAUGAUCCCCAUUUGAGGAUGAUGGAUGUUAUGGGAAAUCCUGUGCCCUGUGGAUUCGUCUUCAUUUACAGUUCUAUUAACGACUAUGGCUCUGUCGUCAUGCCUUUGGUUUUUAUUUUAACCAUCUACAUUAUAAAAGGAUAAAAGGCAGAUCUUCAUAAAGAAUAAUUGUGGACCGGGCUAGAUUAUUUUCUGCAAGGCAAACUCAUGCAUUUAGAAUUUCAUCAUAACUUUGGGUUUUAAGGAAUAGUCAUUUCCCCCCACCGUAUCUGGAGAAUGACUUGUUACUCUCUAGUUAAAAUCAGAUGGAUCUGAGAUAAUACCUAUUUAAAUUUAGUCUCGUUUCCCUAUCAGGCUUGAUUAGAAGAUGCACAUUUCGUAUUGUUUAGUAAUGGUGAUCAAGUGUGAUGAAUCCUGGAUAAAAUCAAAAUUACUUAAAAUGAACUUAAUUUCAAGCUUUUCAGGACUCACUUCAUCUUUUCAUAGUUAAGUUGCUUUUACAGAAUUAACAGGUCUCCAAGAAAUUUUAAAAAGAUCUCUUCUAGGAGUGAGUCUCAAGAUGCUCUGAAGUGAUUGCACAGAGGUGAUCUUUUGAAGGGGAAAAUGAGCCUGACAAUGCUUUUUUAUGUGAAGAACAAAUAAGGUAAGAUGGUUUGUGAUAUAACUAGAUGCCUAACCGCAAAAAAAAUUAGCUGUUGCCAGAAUAAGUCUCAGCAGUCUUUGUAAAGCAUGAAGUAUUUAAGAAGAAUAGCAAGUUAUUUCUCUGUCCCUGUCUACAUCUUUUCUCUACUUGUUCCCAAGAAAUCCUGUAUGUAAAAGAUUCUUUUUCUUUUUGGUACCAGUUUCAUAGAAUUUUACUUUCCCUGGUCCCACAACUCUCCCUAGUCUGCUUCCUUCUCUCCACAAUUGCUGUGUGGCAGAACACUAACGGCUUCUGCCUAUAGUUCGUUACACCUCAGGACCUUUGCGUAUCUGUGUCCUUUGCCCUACAGGUGUUGCCAGGCAUCCUACGCGUCCCUCAGACUUCUAAUUAAGAAACCAUUCUUUGAUUCGCCAGACUAUUUAGAAUCCUCACAGCACACUAUAUUUUUUCUUUACAGGACUGGUCACAUUAUAAAACUUAAACAGUUACACAGUACAGGCAUACUUCAUUUUAUUGCAGUUCAUUGUGCUUCACAGAGACUCUUUUACAACUUAAGGGUUUUGUGGCAAUGCUGCUUCAAGCAAGUCUGUCAGUGCCAUGUUUCCAACAGCAUUUGCUCACUUCGUGUCUCUGUGUCACAUUUUGGUAAUUAUUAACAAUAUUUUAAACUUUUUCAUUAUUAUUACCUGUCUUAAGGUGACCUGUGAUCAGUGAUUAUGACCCACUGGAAGCUCGGGUGAUGGUUAGCAUUUUUUUAGCAAUAAUAUAUUUUCUUUAUGUACACCUUUUUGCUUUUUGGAUCUAAUGCUGUUGCACACUUAAUGGACUAUAGUAUAUAACACUGUAUGUUAACUGUGCUGGAAUUAAAAUAAAAGACUUAAAGUAGACUACAGUAUAGCAUAAACAUAACUUUGAUGUGCACUGGCAAACCUUAAAAUUCAUUUGACUUGCUUUAUUGUGAUGUUCCUUUUGUUGCACAGGUCUGGAAUGCUAUAAUAUCUCUGAGGUAUGCCUGUAUAUUUUUUAAAUGUCUGAACUCUAUGGUAGAUUUUUAAAUCUUUGCUUUGACAACUCAGACCUUUUCUAACUUAUAAUACUAAAUCUUCAGAGUGAUGCCUGGCAUAUAACAGGUGCUCAAUAAACAGUUGCUGAAUGAACAUUUUAUGAGGUAAAUACUCGAUCUCCAUUUGAGAGAUAAGGAAGCUGAAGAAUGAAAAACUUGCUCAAUAUUACCCCAUUAGAAAGCAGGAACGUUGAUACCCAAAAACAUAUCUACAACACAGCUCUGAGAUCCUGGGUGUUUUAUGAAUCUCUCCUCCCACAAGCUAUUUAGCUAACUGAUUAAGAAUACUGGUAAGGGAAGUGGUGUGACAGAAUAAACUAGCUAGGACCUCUGUAAUGAGAAAGAAAAUCUUGGGGUUCAAAGAGACUGAAGGAACUUUAGUGAGAGUUAACAAAUGGCAUGUCAGAGGCAUUAGAAAAAGGAGAAUGAAGAUACUUCUAAACAGGACUCCAGUCUUCUAGGAAAACUAAGGGAUCAGUUUUGAACCUACCACUCAGUGCAGUGUUUUUCUUGUAGGGAAUGGUGCCUAUCACACUCAUCAAGAACCACACUAAUCACAGUAUAGAGAGGAUAAAAACUGUCUGUAGUCAGGACUUUUGGGUUUGGCUUCCAGCAUUAUUAGUUAUGGGACCCUCUGGGAAGUUUCUUAAUCUACUUCUGCCUCAGUUUCCUCUUCCAUAGAAAGGAGGACAAUAAAUACUUUUGUCAAAGUUGAUGGGAGGAUUAAAAUAUAAUUAAAAUGCAUAGAUCAGUAGCUGUCCAAAGUAAUCGCUAUAUAUAAACAUUUGCUAUUAUUUUACAAAUGACAGAUAAAAGCUUGAUCUGUUUUUUAAAAGAUAGGACAUGAAAGGAGUGAAAAUUAAGAAACCUUAGCUAUAGUACUUGGAAGGAAGGGAAACUUAGGAAGCCAUCUAUUGAUAGACAAUAAAUAGAAAUAUCACGUGUGCAUAACUGAUAUAAAACUAAGAUGAGAUUUUGACAUUGGAAAACAUAUGUACACAUAUUAAAACAUGUAUCCUUCUUCAUUUUAGUCAAACUGUAAUCUGAUUUUAUGAAUUAAAUUUCUUGGAACCAGUGGAGUAGUGGGAAGAGAAGGCCCAGGUGAACUCUUUAUGGAUAGUUAGUUAAUAAAUAAACAACUGGGGGAAUCUUCAAAAUUGUCAACUGGCAGAUACUCCCAAAUUCUAUCACUCAUUAAUAGACAAUUCUGGUUAUAUCUUGAGAUUAUCUGGUCUUUUUCACUUCUACUAUAGAGAUAAUAUGGACAAAGUCUGUGUGUAAUAUUUUAUCUAUUUCAGCAAAAAUACUUUUGUGCCUUUAUUCCUCCCUUUAAAAGGUAAGAGGGUUGGACAGUUACUCUUCAGAUGUGCUUGUUGAAGCCAGGCUGUGAUAUUUAGAUGCUCUAACAUUAGUUGGCUACUUGCAUUUGCAUCUAACUAUCAGUACAAAGCAAGCCUUAUUAUAAACCUACACUUACUUCAUAGCAUACUGAUUAAAUCACACAAAACUGGUGAGAAUUCUGAUUCUGCUGUUUACUAGCUAAGUGGCUGUGGUCAAGUUAAGUUACUUAAAGCCUCUAAACCUGUUUCUGUAGUUAUAAGAUGCGAAUAACCACAGCACCUACUUCAUAGGAUUCUGAGCAGUGAAUGAGAAAAUGCAUGUGAAGCUUUGGGUAUUCUGCACAGCAUAAGCAAUCAAAUGUUAGCACUAAUCAAUGUGAUGGUUAGCACACUUAAGUGACUUACAUCACCAGUCAAAAUGAUACAGUAUUUCAUGUAAUGGCCUUAUUAACUAGCUGUUAAUAAAUUAACUCUUGGAACUUUACCAUGGUGAAUUUGUUAAGUUAAAAAUACAUAAUGAGAAAAUCAUAAAAGUUGAGCUAUUUGGGACUGCACACAGUAACACGAGCCAUUGUAGUAUUCAAACUUAAGAUAUUUUUACCCAUACAGAUUAAUGCUUUCUUUUAAAUAUUUCCAUCUUAAGAGAAGAACUUAACUUAGAUAGAUAUAGUCCUACCUCCAAAUCUUCUUCUUCAUCAAUCUUUUGUAUGUUUUGGUAGGCAGCAGUAUAGACCUCUAAAGCUUUGCCAUGAAAUAACAUUUCAAUAGUGAUAAAUUCUGAAAAUAUAGUCUAAAAAAAAAAAACCACAAAGAUUUGAAUUUAAACAGUCAUAUGAAUUUGUGAAUUUAGUAAAUUUAUUCCUUAUUAUUGUUUUUGAAUUUUAUGAAAUACAGAGGUAUCUCUUUUUCCACAGGGCACAGCAAGUAUAAAAGAUAAUGGGAAUAAAAAUAGUUGAAAAGACUGUAGUACAACGUUGAAAUUAUAUAAAAUAUUUCUUAUCCCACCAUUUAAUUUCCUCCUAUUUUUUAAUAAGUCAGUUCUUUGUAUACCUUGUAAUUGAUAUUUGUGAUAAAAAAAAGAUCUGACUAAAAUGUAUAUCAUAUGUACUCUGUUACCAUAUGUCUCUAAAUAUUAGAUAAAGCAGGUCAGUUCUAAACCUGAUAUUUUAGUAACUCCAACUGAUGUUGAAACAAUAGUAUGUCUUUUUAGACAGGAAUUCUAUCCCAUCAUAUUUCUAUGUGUUACUUGUAUUCUCUAGCCACAAAGAACUUACUUGGUAAUUAUAUUGCUACUACUGAUGAUAGCACCAUGGAUUUGCAUAGAGCUUUUCCAGUUUACGAAUAUGUGACUUGCCUCCUGUUGCUCAUAGCUAGAAUGUUGUGACUUGGGUCUGAUUCUUCGAAGGUUAUAGCUCUUGCUUAUUGUACUGUGCUCUUCUUGCUGGAAUCCAUCAUUUCCUUCCCAAAUAAACUGUGCAUGUAAACUGUGCAUCUAUGGAGCAUGAUGCCAGCUUACAACAAGGAAGAUAAUGAGCUAAGAGAAUGAAUGGAGAUGUGCAUGUUGAUUUAAGCAGGGUGAGAUAAUCGGUAGGUAAGGAAAGGAUACAAACCAGAAAAGUUUUCAAUAAAAUAGGAUCUUAUCCUUUUGUUAAUUAUUUUGUCUCUUAUCAAAAUAAAAAAAUCAGAGCAUUAAUAUAGAGAGGAGUGGACAGAAUAAGAAUAAGGUAGAAAGUACCAAAGCAUUGUCCUUAAGGGGCAAGAGAAAAGAGAUGGGCUACAACAGACAAGAGUCAAAUACCCAUUUCCCUUUGUUGCUGCUCUCCUGUGUUAGUCAUCAAAUAGGAGUGGCCCUGCACUUUGGAAGACAGUGUUAUAGGUAUCCCUUAGUGUCCUGUGAUUUUUUUUUUCUCCUUCAUGUCCAUUCUUUCUUCCUUAAGAAUAUUUAAGGGAGUACUGAUAGGCUUCUGAUUACUACUCAAUGGAAACAGAUCAGUAGUUGAAAGUAUCCCUUCUGGCCUAAAAAGACUGGGCUCUGGGACAAGACACAAGUAUGACUAACAGUGACCCUUACUGUCACUUCAUAUAGGUCACAGAGGGUUCUGGUAUACUGGAAUGGCAACUGACUAAUAAGCAGUAUUAUGACCAAGAAUCUCUAGACCAAGAAUGAAGUCACUUUUGAUUAAGACUGGCACUUAUUCACUUAGUUGUCCGUCUUCCUAAGAUAGCAGUCUAGCUAGAAAGGAGUCAAGUGCCCUAGGAGUGUGAAAACUCCGAGAGGGAAAACAGCAGAACCAGAAGUCAAUGAUAUGCCAAAACACUUAAGAUUCCUACUUGGUUCUUGGUCUGCAGCUCAUUUUAGGCAAUGGGAAUAAUCAAGCAGAGGUUUACAACUUUCCUUCUGAAUCUUAAAUUUAGAGAUUUUCUACAUUUACUAAAUAAAGAACUACGUAAAAAAUAUAGACAUAGCUUGACUUUCUUUUUAUUCAAGGCUGUUACAGAAAUUUGUUUUCAUUUAUUUAGGUUUAAUGUUUCAGCUAAGUACAGUAGAGAAUCAACAUUUUACAAUGUUACACAGUGCACUGUCUUUUUUAGUUUUUCUUUUUUGGGUAUUUAUAAACCAUCUGUUUACUUACGUGGAUCUAUUAUGUGGAGAGAGAAGAUAAGGUAAUUGCUUUAUGCUAUAAAAGUACUUGAGAAAUAAAGUAGCCUCAAAUAAGGGAGUUAAGCUUAAUCAGUCAAGUGAGUUAGGUAUUACUCCUAUUUUUAAAUAUUUCUACAAAUGGACAUUCUAAAUCUUUAUAAUAGACUGUCACACUAUUUAAUAACUAGUGAAAUCCAAAUACUUACAACCUUAUUACACCUAAAUCAGUAGAUUAGGCUUAAUUCAAAUCUAUUCCACUGUGGUAACUUUGUGGAAUAUGCAAACAUUUCAAAAUAAUUUAAAACAUUUUUCAAGUAUUUGAAUAUAGUUAUUAAAUUUCUGAUGGUCAGAAUCUCUGAAUGUGUCAUCUCUGAACUAACAAUUUUUUAAUACUAGCAUUUUAUAGGAUUUACAUUACCCUUAGCUCAUAAGUGAGCCCUGAAAAAUAUGUAGAUACGUCUUUCCAGUCUCAAUUUAGUUUCAAUUAAUGAUAAGUACUUUGAAAAUUCUCUUUAAUCUAUAAAUGGCUAUUAUUUACUAUGUGGAAGGUGGGGGGGAGGGAAUCACUCUCAGGUUUUGUGAUACUUUGGUUUAAUCCUUUAUGGUUUGAACUUUUAUUUCUUGGCAAAACCUAUAUUGUAACACCUAAAUAAGACGAGACUGGCCCUACUGAUUUUUUAUACUGUUUAUUUUUCUGUCAAAAACCAUAAUGGGAAAUCAGAAGUACUGGUAAUCUAGUAUCCCAGACUUGGAAUUUUUGACCUAAGAGUUAUGAAGCCUAAAGAUUAUCAUAGAGAGUUAUAUCCCUGAGUAUAGCGAGGAGGGAAUACUGCCAAUUAAUUAUACUCUUUUUUUUUUCUAGUUAGAAUUUCACAAAACAUCUGAAGAUAGGCAGAAGGAAGGAGAAUAAUAGCAAGGAACAGAAAAGUUAGGUGACACCUAGUAUAAGAAGAACAUAAAAAGCAUGUUUUUGAAAUUAAAUAGUUUCAGUGAAUCACCAGAAGGGUGGUGGAACUUUUUAGGACCCAAUCAUAUUUAGAAAUAAUUUUCCCCAAAUAAAUUUAGCCUAACUUUCAGUGAUCUCAUGUAAUCUUAUCUGCAGUGGGUGAGUAUCAUCAGGGACAGACGCAUUAAUGAGUUAUCUUUUUUUCCCCUUUUCAAUUUUAUUUUGUAUGACUAGAGGGUAAUUUGGGCAUGUACUUAAUUUUUACUGGUAGGAGAUGGGGGAACUAAUCUGAAAUUCUCUAUUGACAAGUAUUCUGUAAAGCAGGAUAGUAUAUAGGAGUUAAGAUUAUGGGCUCUGGAUUAAGAUAAACCUGGGUUCCAAUCAUGACCGAACAUAACAGUUAUAUAAUAUUAAGCAGUUUAUCUAUACUUUUCCUUAAUUUUUCUCAUCUGUACAAUGGGGGAUAAGAACAGUAUCAAACUCAUAAGUUUAGGGGUUAAGGAUUAAAUGAGAGAAUCCAAGAAAAGGUAUAGUAUGGUGACUGACUUAGAGUAAGUGCUCAACACAAGUUAGCUAUUUUUAUCACUCAAGAAGUAAACUUGCUAAGUUAGAAAAUGUUCCUUAUGUUAAUAUUAAAGCCUCUACCUGGUUUAAUUAGCAAGCAACACUUUUAACAAAAAAGUCAUGAAAGGUCUGACUAAUAACAUUUUGGCAAAUAAAGGGGAAAUAAUGACUCCAGAGUAGAGGCUAUUCAAUAAGUGAUGCCAGGAGAACUUUUAUCUACUUGAAAAGAAUAAAGCUAGAUAUCUACCUCAUACCAUAUGCAAAACACAACUGCCAGAUAAAAUGUUUAAAUAUUUAAAAUAUUUUUAAAACUUACAAAUACUACAAGAAAAUAUAAGCAAGUAUUUACAAUCUUGAGGAUGAAAACAACCUUUCAAACAUGACACCAAGUAUGAAACCAAAAAAGAGACCAACAGAUCUGGCAACAAACAUAAAACUUUAUGGCACAAACACACCAUAAACAACAAAAUGGGAAAAUACAUUUGUGACAUUUCUCUUCAAUAUAAAAGGUUAAUUCUCUCAAUAUAAGGAUUUUUUACAAAUUAAUAAGCAAAUUGCCAACACUCAAUAAAAAAUACAGGCUAAGGACAAGUGUGGGUAAUUUACUAAAGAAGAAAUAAAUGUAUUAUUAAAUAUAUGAAAAAAUAUUGUCUUAAUAGUAGUAAGUGCAACUUAAGAUUACACUGAUUUUUUUCACCUAUCAGACUAAUUAUUAAAAAGACUACUACUCAUCAUUGGUAUAUUGGGUUGCUCAUGCAGGUUUUAUAGAAAUGUAAACCAGUUAAAACUUUAUAGGCAGGAGUUUAAAGCUUUGUGGACAAAAAGUAUCAAAAUUUAAAGGGUGUAUGCUCUUUGAAUCAGAAAUACCACUCUGUUAAUUUAUCCCAAAAGAACAACUGGAUCAGCAAAAAGCCGAAUGUUUAAUGAUACAAUGAGAUCUAUACCUGCAAAAAUAAUGUUGAUAACACCAAUAAGGACUGGUUAGAUAAAGUAAUAUAUAUCCAUAGCAAAAACUGUGAGGAUACCAAAAGGAUGAUACACAUCUGUUUCUUAGCAAAUGUCUGUGAUAUAUUAAAUUUUAAAAAGAGAUGCUACAUAUAGUGUGGUCCACUUAAAUAUAACUGUAUAGGGGUAAUGAUAUUACCUCCCUCAUAAAGAUUUUGUGAGGAGUAAGUGAGUGUAUCCACAUAAAAUGCAUAGAAUAUGUGACAUAGUCAACGCCUAAGAAAUAUUUAUUAUCCUAUCUCUUGUGUAUAUGUACAUAGAAAAAAGUUGUAAUGACACAAACCAAAAUGCUAAUUUAUUAUUUCUGAGUAGUAGGAUUAUUAUACUUUCUUAAUAGUUUCAUGCAGAAAAUUUAUGGUUAUUUUAUAUUUAGUUAUAAGAAAAAUAAAGUUAUUAAAAUUAAAUUUAGAAGAUGUUUCUUGUUCAUGUCAGCUACUUUGCCACAUACUGAAUUCCUGUUCCUCUCUGUUCCAGGAGUGACCCCCUGUUUAAGAUCCUUUCUGUAGGCCUGAAAUUCCCUUGACAUUCACCAUGUAACUGAUGAUUUUUCCUAUUAUAUGGGAAACAAAUGGGAUUGUGAUUUUUCAUCCACAUUCUGUACUCUUAAGUUCCAUACCAACUUUUCUCAAGCCAAUUUUUUGCAAGGUUCCUGUGAAGUCUUUAUCUAAAAAUUGUGCUACCUUGCUGAUUAAUUAAUUGUGCUACUUUUGCUGCUACCAAAAUUCAGAUGGACUUGUCAGUUAAACCUACCUCCCACACAGUUGUACAGUAAUCAGCAGUGCUCACUCAUUUCUGCCCCCAGAGAGGUUAGAGGAGCCAGAAGUUCUGCCCCCAUCUGAACCAGUAGCCUGAUAAAAGGUAAGAAUAAGAAUGUUCUAGGUUUGUUUCUCCCAAAAUUAUGAGUGGCAGCAACGAUUUUUACUUUUCCAAGAAUUUCUAUCAUAAACAGAAAUGUAAGACAUGCUAAAAUCAACAUAGGGGGGCAGUAGUGUCACUCUUUUUGACUUGUGUUUGAAACUUCUGGGAUUUGUGCAUCCCUCUUUAUCAUAAAAGAUCUCAAAUGAGGUCUGACUUGGAAAAGAAACAAUUUGAUAGUGAUGAGGAAAGAUGUAUAAAAUGGAGAUUCAGAACCCUAACAGAGUUCAAUUUUGACCUCUGGAACUCAUUUCUGGAAGUUUGGUAGAUUGUGGGGGGGUCUGUAUUUAAAGUGUAGGUUGUCACAGAUGAUAUAUAUCUUGUAUGUAGAAAAUCUUAAGGAAUCUACUAAACUAUCAGCACUAAUAAAUGAAUUCUGUAAGGUUGCAGAAUACAGGAUCAGUCUGCAAAAACUGAUUAUAUUUGUGUGCAUUUGCAAUGAAUAAUCCAAAAAUGAAAUUAAGUAAACAAUUCCAUUUACAAUAGCAUGAAGGAUUAUAAAAUACUUAGGAAAAAUUUUGAGAAAAGAAACACAAAAUGUAUCCUCUGAACACUAUAAAAUGGUUAAAAUAAACUAAGGAAUACUUAAAUAAAUGGAAAAAUAUCCCUAUGUUUAUGGCCUGAAAAAAUUAAUUGUAAGAUGGCAAUACUCCCCAAAUUGAUUUACAGAGUUGAUGCAAUUCCUACCAGAAUCCCACCUGACUUCUUUAUAGAAACUGAGAAGCUGAUUCUAAAAUUCAUACAGAAUUACAACAGAUCCAGAAUAGCCAAAACAAUCUUUGAAAAGAAGAAAGUAGAAGAACUUAUACACCCUGAUUUUAAAAUUCAUUAUAAAGCAAUGCUAAUCAAUGUAGUGUGGUACUGGCAUAGGACAGACCUAUAGAUCAAUGAAAGGGAAAGUUCAGAAACAAAACCAUGUCAACUGAUUUUUACCAAGGGUUCCAAGGCUAUUCAAUGGAAAAGAAUAGCUUCUUCAACAAAUGGUGCUUGGGCAACUGGACAGUCACAUGCAAAAAGAUGGAAGUUUAACCUUCAGCUCACACCAUACAUCAAAAUUAAUUCAAAUGGAUCAAAGACUUAAAAGAACUAUGAAAACUAUACAACUGUUAGAAGAAAACAGGGAUAAAUCUUCAUGAUCUCAGAUUCGGCAAUGGAUUGUUAGAUAUGACACUAAAAAUACAAGCAACAAAAGAAACAUAUAUUGACUUCAAGCAUAAAAACUUUUCUGCUUCAAGGAACACCAUGAAGAUAGUGAAAAGAACCCUAAGGAUGCGAGAAAAUAAUUGCAAACCAUAGAUCUGAAAAGGGACUUGUAUCCAGAAUAGAUAAAGAACUUUUACCACUCAAUAAUAAAAAGACAACCCAAUGAAAAUAUGGGCAAAGGGUCUGAAUAGACAUUUCUUCAAGGAAGACAUACCAAUGGCCAAUAAGCAUUAGCAGGGAAAUGCAACUCAAAACCACAAUGACCUGCCAUUUCACACCCACUCAGAUGGUUGUGAUGAAAAAGUCUGAUGAACAGCAAGUAUUGGUGAGGAUGCAAAAAAAUUUGAACCUAAUCUUGAAGCCCCUUUGGAAAACAGUCUGGAAAUUUCUCAGAUGAUUACAGAUAAGGUUAUACCAUAUGAUGCAGCAAUUCAAUUAGAUGUAUACCUAAUAAAAAUGACAAUUUAUGUCCAUACAAAAA